rnacentral:rRNA from 1 species
UACACAUGCAAGUCGUGCGGUCAAAAUGAGGGGACUUNCAAGGGACGAGCGGCGGACGGGUGAGUAAUGCAUGGGAAUGCGCCCGAUAGUGGGGGACAACCCUGGGAAACCAGGGCUAAUACCGCAUGUUUUCUACGGAACAAAGCGGGGGAUCUUUUCGGAGACCUCGCGCUAUCGGAGCAGCCCAUGUCCGAUUAGCUUGUUGGCGGGGUAACGGCCCACCAAGGCGACGAUCGGUAGCUGGUCUGAGAGGAUGAUCAGCCACGACCGGGACUGAGACACGGCCCGGACUCCUACGGGAGGCAGCAGUGGGGAAUAUUGGACAAUGGGGGCAACCCUGAUCCAGCGAUGCCGCGUGAGUGAAGAAGGCUUUCGGGUUGUAAAGCUCUUUCGCAGGGGAAGAAAAAACGCGGAGUAAUACGCCGCGUCCAUGACGGUACCCUGACAAGAAGCACCGGCUAACUUCGUGCCAGCAGCCGCGGUAAUACGGGGGGUGCAAGCGUUAAUCGGAAUUACUGGGCGUAAAGCGUGCGUAGGCGGCCGUCCAAGUCAGAUGUGAAAGCCCCGGGCUCAACCCGGGAACUGCGUUUGAAACUGGAGGGCUUGAGUUCGGCAGAGGAAGGUGGAAUUCCGCGUGUAGNNUGGGAAUGCGUAGAGAUGCGGAAGAACACUAAUGGCGAAGGCAUCCUUCUGGGCCGACACUGACGCUGAGUCACGAAAGCGUGGGGAGCAAACAGGAUUAGAUACCCUGGUAGUCCACGCCCUAAACGAUGCCCGCUAGCUGUCGGAGGUUCCAAUUUAUUGGUCUUUCGGUAGCGACUGAACGCGUUAAGCGGGCCGCCUGGGGAAUACGGUCGCAAGAUUAAAACUCAAAGGAAUUGACGGGGACCCGCACAAGGGUGGGAUGAUGUGGUUUAAUUCGAUGCAACGNGAAAAACCUUACCCGCUCUUGACAUGUCCGGAAUCCUG